UACGUAGGGUGCAGGCGUUAAUCGGAAUUACUGGGCGUAAAGCGUGCGCAGGCGGUUUCUUAAGUCAGAUGUGAAAGCCCCGGGCUUAACCUGGGAACUGCGUUUGAAACUGGGAGACUUGAGUGUGGCAGGAGGGGGGUGGAAUUCCGACGUGUAGCAGUGAAAUGCGUAGAUAUGUGGAGGAACACCGAUGGCGAAGGCAGCCCCCUGGGUUAACACUGACGCUCAUGCACGAAAGCGUGGGGAGCAAACAGG
rnacentral:rRNA from 1 species